UACGUAGGGGCCAAGCGUUGUCCGGAUUUAUUGGGCGUAAAGAGCUCGUAGGCGGUUCGGCAAGUCAGCUGUGAAAUCUCCACGCUCAACGUGGAGGGGUCAGCUGAUACUGCUGUGACUUGAGUCCGGUAGGGGAGUGUGGAAUUCCCGGUGUAGCGGUGAAAUGCGCAGAUAUCGGGAGGAACACCAGUAGCGAAGGCGGCAUUCUGGGCCGGUACUGACGCUGAGGAGCGAAAGCGUGGGGAGCAAACAGG
rnacentral:rRNA from 1 species